GUCAACGACCAUACCACGUAGAAAGCACCAGAUCUCGUCCGAUCACCGAAGUUAAGCUACGUUGGGCCCGGUUAGUACCUGCAUGGGUGCCUGGCUGGGAAUACCGGGUGUUGCUGUCA
rnacentral:rRNA from 1 species